rnacentral:pre_miRNA from 1 species
AGUGCAAAUGUUGGGUUGUAUGUUGUAUGACUAAUGUAUGUUUAGGUUCUUAAGAAACUGUCAGACUUUUUCUCGGAAUGAUUGUACCAUUGUACAUUCCCACAAGCAAU